rnacentral:rRNA from 1 species
AACGAACGCUGGCGGCAGGCUUAACACAUGCAAGUCGAGCGCCCCGCAAGGGGAGCGGCAGACGGGUGAGUAACGCGUGGGAAUCUACCCAUCUCUACGGAAUAACGCAUGGAAACGUGUGCUAAUACCGUAUACGUCCUUCGGGAGAAAGAUUUAUCGGAGAUGGAUGAGCCCGCGUUGGAUGAGCUAGUUGGUGGGGUAAAGGCCUACCAAGGCGACGAUCCAUAGCUGGUCUGAGAGGAUGAUCAGCCACACUGGGACUGAGACACGGCCCAGACUCCUACGGGAGGCAGCAGUGGGGAAUAUUGGACAAUGGGCGCAAGCCUGAUCCAGCCAUGCCGCGUGAGUGAUGAAGGCCCUAGGGUUGUAAGGCUCUUUCACCGGUGAAGAUAAUGACGGUAACCGUAGAAGAAGCCCCGGCUAACUUCGUGCCAGCAGCCGCGGUAAAAC